GGGACCGUGUGUGGUGGGUAGUUUGACUGGGGCGGUCUCCUCCCAAAGAGUAACGGAGGAGCACGAAGGUACGCUCAGCGCGGUCGGACAUCGCGCACUGUGUGCAAAGGCAUAAGCGUGCUUGACUGCGAGAUCGACGGAUCAAGCAGGUACGAAAGUAGGUCUUAGUGAUCCGGUGGUUCUGUAUGGAAGGGCCAUCGCUCAACGGAUAAAAGGUACUCCGGGGAUAACAGGCUGAUACCGCCCAAGAGUUCAUAUCGACGGCGGUGUUUGGCACCUCGAUGUCGGCUCAUCACAUCCUGGGGCUGUAGCCGGUCCCAAGGGUAUGGCUGUUCGCCAUUUAAAGUGGUACGCGAGCUGGGUUCAGAACGUCGUGAGACAGUUCGGUCCCUAUCUGUCGUGGGCGUUGGAGAUUUGAGAGGGGCUGCUCCUAGUACGAGAGGACCGGAGUGGACGUUCCGCUGGUGUUCGGGUUGUCAUGCCCAUGGCAUUGCCCGGUAGCUACGAACGGAAGCGAUAACCGCUGAAAGCAUCUAAGCGGGAAGCGCGCCUCAAGAUGAGAUCUCCCGAGACUUCGAGUCUCCUUAAGGCACCAUCAAGACUAGGUGGUUGAUAGGCGCGGUGUGGAAGUGCAGCAAUGCAUUGAGCUUACGCGUACUAAUGAGCCGUGCGGCUUGACCAU
rnacentral:rRNA from 1 species